rnacentral:rRNA from 1 species
UGCCAGCAGCCGCGGUAAUACGAAGGGGGCUAGCGUCGUUCGGAAUUACUGGGCGUAAAGCGCGUGUAGGCUGACUAGUCAGUCAGGGGUGAAAUCCCAGGGCUCAACCCUGGAACUGCCUUUGAUACUGCUAGUCUGGAGUCCGGUAGAGGUGAGUGGAAUUCCGAGUGUAGAGGUGAAAUUCGUAGAUAUUCGGAGGAACACCAGUGGCGAAGGCGGCUCACUGGACCGGUACUGACGCUGAGACGCGAAAGUGUGGGGAGCAAACAGGAUUAGAUA